UAUGAUAGAAAGUUGAACACCAUUAUGUAUGUACUAUCAGAUUUGACACUUUAAACUUAUGGCAUGAUAAAGAUUAUAUGAAAAUGUAGGAAAUGCUAUAGCGGCCUAACAAAAUAAACGGUUUUGGGUAUGAACCGGUUUUGGGGUGUGGGAACCAGAACUGAGCCAAUUAUCAAUUCUUAUGUUAACAUGGAACCAGGACCUCUAUAAUUGGCUUAGUUUGCUUGGGCCCGUCAAGUAGACCCGAAUCGUUGACAGCCCUUCGAAGAAUACAAUGGAUAGGAGGGCUACAGAUCCAACAAGAUGAAUAAAUAUCUCUAAACCAAUUUCAACCUUUUCAUUGCAAGCGCAUCUUAUCAGCUCGCACCGCCUACUGUGGUUUCAGCAACGACUGCGAUCGUGUAUUGGCACUUCUGUAUAUUGCAUCGGGCAAAUAUGAUUCGGGCAUUCGAACCGGAGCUGUUGCGAGCUGUGGCCUCACAUACGCUGGAGCCUAGAAUGAGCCACCAUAACCUCCUUCCUCUCUAUUCACUUCUUGGACUUUUCCUUCCCCACCUAUUUCUGAUUGGAUAUUAUUGAUUGGUGAUUGUCUUGGGCGUGCAAACAGGACUCGGACGUGAUAACGGAUUCUUAAGUGGCACAGGAACCAAGAAUGCUGGAAUUGUGGGAGUGUUGUGCAACCGCUUACGACAUUACUAUAAAAAAGCCAAUCCGCUCUUCGCUUUUAGGAUUGCUCGAGGUUUUGCUACUUUGGGAAAGGACUUGUCGACUCAUGUGACUUACCAUUCCUUCCGGCUUUGAUAACAAUUUGGCUACCAUUGGAGACAGGGCUGUCAGCGGGUGGGGUUCGGGUCUGAUCUAGGUAAAAGCGCUCCCGAACCGAUCCUUAACCAGGACAAAUUUGUAGACCCAAAACCGUCACUCUUAAUGUAAAACUUAGCUUAUACCUUCACAUAGGAUAAAUAUCGAACCGAUCAAACUUAAAACCGGUUUUGCUAUUUAAAUGUUAACCUAAAAUUUAAAUUUUGAUAGUAUAGAGUUAAUAAAAUUGAUAGAAAAAUUCUAAAUUAUUUAUA